rnacentral:lncRNA from 1 species
AUUUGCAUAAAAAAUCCACUUAUUUUGGGCUUUUGCAAAAUCGGGCCACCUUUUUCGUUUUUGCAGAUUCGGUCCGCUUUUUCAGCAAACUGACCAAAAUACCCUUAUUACUUUUUCUCUUUCCUCUUUCUCUCUCCUCUUCGUUCUCUCGUUCUUUUUUUUUCCGCCGUAAAAAAAAGCGAAAGCCAGGCUGAGCAAUUUUUUCUUCUCUUUUUCUUUUUCUUCUUCUUCUUCUUCCUGCUGGAGCACCUUUUUUUUUCCCUCUUCUUCUUCUUCUUCUUCUUCUUCUUGUUCCUGUAA